rnacentral:rRNA from 1 species
AUUGAACGCUGGCGGCAGGCCUAACACAUGCAAGUCGAGCGAGCGGCGGACGGGUGAGUAAUGUAUGGGGACCUGCCCGAUAGAGGGGGAUAACUACUGGAAACGGUGGCUAAUACCGCAUACUAUCGGAUGAACCCAUAUGUGAUUAGCUAGUAGGUGGGGUAAAGGCCAACCAAGGCGACGAUCUCUAGCUGGUCUGAGAGGAUGAUCGGCCACACUGGGACUGAGACACGGCCCAGACUCCUACGGGAGGCAGCAGUGGGGAAUAUUGGACAAUGGGCGCAAGCCUGAUGCAGCCAUGCCGCGUGUAUGAAGAAGGCCUUAGGGUUGUAAAGUACUUUCAGCGGGGAGGCGGUACCCGAAGAAUAAGCACCGGCUAACUCCGUGCCAGCCGCCGCGGUAAUUC